rnacentral:rRNA from 1 species
GUGGGGAAUAUUGGACAAUGGGCGAAAGCCUGAUCCAGCCAUGCCGCGUGUGUGAAGAAGGUCUUCGGAUUGUAAAGCACUUUAAGUUGGGAGGAAGGGCAGUAAGUUAAUACCUUGCUGUUUUGACGUUACCGACAGAAUAAGCACCGGCUAACUUCGUGCCAGCAGCCGCGGUAAUACGAAGGGUGCAAGCGUUAAUCGGAAUUACUGGGCGUAAAGCGCGCGUAGGUGGUUUUGUAAGUUGGAGGUGAAAUCCCCGGGCUCAACCUGGGAACUGCAUCCAAAACUGCAGAACUGGAGUACGGUAGAGGGUAGUGGAAUUUCCUGUGUAGCGGUGAAAUGCGUAGAUAUGGGAAGGAACACCAGUGGCGAAGGCGACUACCUGGACUGAUACUGACACUGAGGUGCGAGAGCGUGGGGAGCAAACAGGAUUAGAUACCCUUGUAGUCC